rnacentral:rRNA from 1 species
ACGGGUGAGUAACGCGUAGGGAUCUGCCCUGUAGAGGGGGACAACCCGGGGAAACUCGGGCUAAUACCGCAUAGUACUCUGAGGAGGAAAGGCUGGGCAACCAGUCGCUAUGGGAGGAACCUGCGUCCGAUUAGCCAGCUGGUGAGGUAAUGGCUCACCAGGGCGAUGAUCGGUAGCUGGUCUGAGAGGAUGACCAGCCACACUGGGACUGAGACACGGCCCAGACUCCUACGGGAGGCAGCAGUGGGGAAUAUUGGACAAUGGGGGAAACCCUGAUCCAGCAAUGCCGCGUGUGUGAAGAAGGCCUUCGGGUUGUAAGGCACUUUGGGUGGGGAAGAAGGUGGAGUGUUUAAGAGAUGCUUCAUUUGACGGUACCCGCAGAACAAGCACCGGCAAACUCUGUGCCAGCAGCCGCGGUAAUACAGAGGGUGCAAGCGUUAAUCGGAGUUACUGGGCGUAAAGGGCGCGUAGGCGGUCUAUCAAGUGGGAUGUGAAAGCCCCGGGCUUAACCUGGGAACUGCAUCCUGGACUGAUAGGCUGGAGUACUGUAGAGGAUAGUGGAAUUUCCGGUGUAGCG